GACGAGGGAUCCUAGCGUUGCUCGGAAUUACUGGGCGUAAAGCGUGCGCAGGCGGUUUGUUAAGUCCGCUGUGAAAUCCCCGAGCUCAACUUGGGAAUUGCAGUGGAUACUGGCAAGCUGGAGUACGGUAGAGGAAGGUGGAAUUCCCGGUGUAGCAGUGAAAUGCGUAGAGAUCGGGAGGAACACCAGUGGCGAAGGCGGC
rnacentral:rRNA from 1 species